AGGUUGAUUCCAAGUCUUGGCUAUUGUGGAUGGUGCUGCAGUAAACAUCAGAAUGCAGGUGAAAUAGAGGAGAUGACAUGAAUGAGGGACUACAUUGGAAUGAAGAAGAACCUGGAGGAGGUAAAAAAACUGAAGGCUCCGGAUGUCGGACGAUGGAAAAUAAAAACAACAAGCAAGUGAAACUCCCUGACUUAUCAACCUUACUCAAGAAAUGGGAAUUUCUGCCCUAGAGAGGUCUUGGAAACUUUCUCACCAGAAGAGCACAACUUGAUGGCAGGAAGCUCCUGAUGGAGGCCUGAAAAUGGCCCUGAAAGGGAUGCCAGGGGACCAGGUCUCCACUAUUAUCAGCGUGUGACUUUGGACAAGGAUGUUAAUGGCUCUGUGACUCAGUUACCUCUUCUGUACUUUACUUAGGGGUCUAUUGCUUUCCAUUUUGUCUUUUUCAUUUGUUAAAUCCAAUGAUGUCACUGACAGUAAAAACUAGUAAAUAGUAAAAAAAAAAAAAAAAAAAAAAGUAAAA